GGGGGUGACCGGUUUCGACUUGGGAUGGUAGUCCCAGGGGAAGCGGGCCGAGGAUUCAAGGUCAUCUCGUAAACGACCCUUGAAAAACAAUAAGUGCCAAGAACACACGCACUAACUUCGCUCUCGCCGCCUGAUCGGUGAUCGAAGGGCCAGCCCGGGGGCGCCUUCCCCGCGGCGUCUGGUCUCAUUUAGAAGGCUGUCCGCCGAGGUUUCGUCUGAGGGCCGCGGCGGGAGAUUUUCAGACUGGGCUUGUUCGUCACGUGCUGGCGAGAGGACGAAAGCCAAGUAAAACGCUGAGCUAGCUGCGCCCGGAGAAGACCUGGAACGCUGGUCAAGGACGCGGGUUCGACUCCCGCCACCUCCACCA
rnacentral:tmRNA from 1 species